UGGGGAAUUUUGGACAAUGGGCGAAAGCCUGAUCCAGCAAUGCCGCGUGUGUGAAGAAGGCCUUCGGGUUGUAAAGCACUUUUGUCCGGAAAGAAAUCCUUGGCUCUAAUACAGUCGGGGGAUGACGGUACCGGAAGAAUAAGCACCGGCUAACUACGUGCCAGCAGCCGCGGUAAUACGUAGGGUGCAAGCGUUAAUCGGAAUUACUGGGCGUAAAGCGUGCGCAGGCGGUUUGCUAAGACCGAUGUGAAAUCCCCGGGCUCAACCUGGGAACUGCAUUGGUGACUGGCAGGCUAGAGUAUGGCAGAGGGGGGUAGAAUUCCACGUGUAGCAGUGAAAUGCGUAGAGAUGUGGAGGAAUACCGAUGGCGAAGGCGAGCCCCCUGGGCCAAUACUGACGCUCAUGCACGAAAGCGUGGGGGAGCAAAACAGGAUUAGAUACCCUGGUAGUCCACGCCCUAAAACGAUGUCAACUAGUUGUUGGGGAUUCAUUUCCUUAGUAACGUAGCUAACGCGUGAAGUUGACCGCCU
rnacentral:rRNA from 1 species